rnacentral:lncRNA from 1 species
UUUUACACUGCAGAUGAUUAGAUCAUGUUAGAGGAAGCUGCACAUCUGUAGAUACUAUAUAAGCCAUAGUGAAAUUCUGGAUGGCUUGGUAUGAUGUAUCCAGUAUCUCUCUGUAAUGCAGGUUUGUCCUUUGAGCCCCAAAUGCAUAUUCCACAAUAUUAAUAUUCCACAAGCUAACAGCGCAGGAUAAUAAGGAAGGCUACGGAGGAGCUGGUCCGGUCCCUUAAUUUUCAGCUCAAGAUUUAACUACUGCAGGACUUUCAGAGUGUGUGGAAAUAUAGAAACAGUAAGACACUCCAAAAACACUACAAACUCCUUACAGUCACGGACCAGGGCGUAGAUCAUACCCACAAUCUAAGACCCCUGGAGCUGUGCAGCACACACAGGCCUGAAAAUUGUAAGUUUGAUUAAAUUGUUUGAUUCAUUUAAUAUGAACUUAUAUCUUUCACGUAUCACACAAAC